UGGUUAAAAUAAAUUUUAGAAUGAAGAGUUUGAUCCUGGCUCAGGAUGAACGCUGGUGGUAUGCUUAACACAUGCAAGUUGAACGAUGGCUUUUCGAAGUCAUAGUAGCGGACGGGUGAGUAACGCGUAAGUUAUCAACGCUUGGGUGAGGGAUAACAAAUGGAAACGUUUGCUAAUACCCCGUAAUACUGAAAAGUUAAAGUAUGAAUAAUACUCCCGAGUACGAGCUUGCGUCUGAUUAGCUUGUUGGUGGGGUAAAGGCUUACCAAGGCUACGAUCAGUAGCUGGUUUGAGAAAACGAUCAGCCACACUGGAACUGAGACACGGAACAGACUCCUACGGGAGGCAGCAGUGGGGAAUAUUUCGCAAUGGGCGAAAGCCUGACGAAGCAAUACCACGUGGAGGAUGAAGGCCUUUGGGUUGUAAACUCCUUUUCUCAUUGAAGAAGAUCUGACGGUAUUUGAGGAAUAAGCAUCGGCUAAUUCUGUGCCAGCAGCCGCGGUAAUACAGAAGAUGCAAGCGUUAUCUGGAAUUAUUGGGCGUAAAGCGUUCUGUAGAUGGUUUUUUAAGUUUAAUGUUAAAGAUCGAGGCUCAACCUUGAAAUGGCAUUGAAAACUGAGAGACUUGAGUACGAUAGGGGUAGAGGGAAUUUCCAGUGUAGCGGUGAAAUGCGUAGAUAUUGGAAAGAACACCAACGGCGAAAGCACUCUACUAGGUUGAUACUGACAUUGAGAGACGAAAGCUAGGUUAAUCAACAGGAUUAGAUACCCUGGUAGUCCUAGCCGUAAACGAUGGACACUAAGUGGUGCUUUUUGUGCUGCUGUAGCUAACGCGUUAAGUGUCCCGCCUGGGGAGUACGCUUGCAAAAGUGAAACUCAAAGGAAUUGACGGGGGCCCGCACAAGCGGUGGAGCAUGUGGUUUAAUUCGAUGGUACCCGAAGAACCUUACCAGGGCUUGACAUGCUAAGAAGUUUCUUGAAAUAGAGAUGUGCCUUAGGGAACUUAGACACAGGUGGUGCAUGGCUGUCGUCAGCUCGUGUCGUGAGAUGUUGGGUUAAGUCCCGCAACGAGCGCAACCCUUUUCUUUAAUUGUUUUUUUAGAGAUACUGCCGAUGAUAAAUCGGAGGAAGGUGAGGAUGACGUCAAGUCAGCAUGCCCCUUAUGCCCUGGGCUACACACGUGCUACAAUGGUUAAGACAAUAAGUUGCAAAUUCGCGAGGGUGAGCUAAUCUUCAAACUUAAUCUCAGUUCGGAUUGUAGGCUGCAACUCGCCUACAUGAAGUCGGAAUCGCUAGUAAUCGCCGGUCAGCUAUACGGCGGUGAAUCCGUUCCCGGGCCUUGUACACACCGCCCGUCACACCAUGGAAGCUGGUCAGACCUGAAGUUGUUUUCUUAACGUAAGAUGGAGAUUACUAAGGUUGGGUUGGUAACUGGGGUGAAGUCGUAACAAGGUAGCCGUACUGGAAGGUGCGGCUGGAACAACUCCA
rnacentral:rRNA from 1 species